UGGGCAUUAAGCAGUUGUACCAAUUGAAUAACACAUCAGCCAUGAAUCUUACAUGUAUUUUGUUUCUGUUAUCUGGGUCUUAAUCAGGGUGAAGCAGUAUAGGUUUCCAAGGCAAAAGCUUUUGGGACAUCAAGGCCUGCCACUGCGAGCUCGUCUUAUAUAUGGAGAACACAUUUUUUAUAUGGAAGGAAAGAUUCUCUUCAUGGGGCAAUCCUUGGCACCUUUGUGGCAUCCUGAAGGAUAUCACUUUCCUGUGAAGUCGGUCUAUGACUCCGGGCUUUCUUUCAAAUGUCAAGGUCUGCAGAUGGGAUCCUGAAUCAUUCAUAUGGAGGUGGCCUGCAGCAAGAUCAGAUGCCCCAGAUGUCUAUUCAAGCCUCAAUUUGCAAGGCUCUUGUUCCGAAUUCAAUGAUGUUAAAGGCAAGUUUGAUAGAUCAUCAGAAAUGGGGCCUGUUGUAACCGUACCAGGUUCACUUAGAUUCUUCAGCAAUCGAUGAAAAGGAACACAAAAAGAAAAAUGUAGCUACUUCGAAUUUGAAGGGAACCAUGUAAGGGUUGGUUUCCCUCCAAUCGUGAGAAGCAGCAAUCUGUAGGCACCAUGCAAAAGGUGUUCUGCUUCUCAAUGUCAAACAAAACACCCGUGUCUGACUGGAGUGCCGAUUCGCAUACAUCACAAGAGCAAGCACUUUCACUACACUGGAAACGAGAAACGAAAAACGCAUCGAAUGCGGACCCAAAAGUGACUCCGCGAAUCCGAUCCGCACGAGCCCGGCGCAUCUGAGGGGAUUAAACAGAUCGAGUGUGAAGAGACCCAGAAAAGAUCCCCCGAGAAUCAAGACACGCAAGUGCACGCGCGAACCAGGGUUCGUGCAAUACGGAGCGGGGAUGUGGCCGGGUAUUGUGUCGUGGGACUACGGAGUAAAAGAGUCCCAAGGAUCUUCAACCGGCCGAAGGUUUGGUGUCGGCUCCAAGCGGCAGACAGGCCACCAUGGACGGGUGCCCGCUGUUGACUCGGAUUAUGGAGCCAUGAAAACACUAGCGUAAACUACUACUGCUACUAAAGGGAGCGAAUCGACAAGACCGCGCGUUUCUCACCUGUAAUUGAACCGCCAUCUCCACGAGCAGCACAGGCUCGGCGGCCUGGAGCUGAUGUCGACGAACGAGAAGAAGAGACAGG
rnacentral:lncRNA from 1 species